UGGCAACUGUUUAUUCUUAGGUAUUCCGGGAGGCAGGCCGAAAUUCCUAGUUUAGCGGUGAAAUGGCGUAGAUAUUAGGGAGGAAACACCAGUGGCGAAGGCGGCCUGCUGGACGACAACUGACGGUGAUGCGCGAAAGCGUGGGGAGCAAACAGGAUUAGAUACCCUGGUAGUCCACGCUGUAAACGAUGAAUAAUAGGUGUUGGGGGGACUGACCCCUUUCCGUGCCGCAGUUAACACAAUAAGUAUUCCACCUGGGGAGUACGGCCCGCAAGGUUGAAACUCAAAGGAAUUGACGGGGGCCCCGCACAAGCAGUGGAUUAUGUGGUUUAAUUCGAAGCAACGCGAAGAACCUUACCAGGGUUUGACAUCCAACUAACGAAGCAGAGACGCAUUAGGUGCCCUUCGGGGAAAGUUGAGACAGGUGGUGCAUGGUUGUCGUCAGCUCGUGUCGUGAGAUGUUGGGUUAAGUCCCGCAACGAGCGCAAC
rnacentral:rRNA from 1 species